rnacentral:misc_RNA from 1 species
UUCGCUCCUCUGGUAAAUAAUUUGCGAACGCCAAUUUUUCUCGAUGUUCACGUACCACUUUCUUCGACAGCGGAGCGAAAACACGAGGUUUCGCUCCUCCCAAAAGUGAGUUUUUUCGCUCCGCUGGUGAAAAAAAAUAAUUAUACACGCAAACGUGCGGUGAAAUUUCCAACUUCUUUUUUUCAUCCCCCUAAUUCGCACCCUGCAGUGGUCAGAAGGUUCGACUAUCGUGUAUUUUAUUUUCUUUUUU